rnacentral:lncRNA from 1 species
CGCGCGUGUGUAUGUGUGUGUGUGUGUGCGUGUGCGCGAGUGUGUGUGCGGGGUGCGCGCGCGGGCGGGAGUGGGCGCGCGCGGGGAAAGGCCCGAAAACACCUUAGUUUGCACCGAGAGACCAUUUGCAGCGGAACCCGAAAGUUUGCAAGAGGAAGAGAGCGCGCGGCGAACAAGCGGGCAAGGGGCAGCGGCAGCGGCGCCGCCAGGGACCAUGGUGCUGCCGGCGCCUCCUCCGCGGGCGUGAAGGCGGCGCUCCCACUCUCCCCUCGGACUCCGCGGUGUCCCAGGAGCUUCUGCUGACAAUUCCAGUUUCCACACGCAACAUUUGGGCAAUGGUGAGGGCUUCGGUCCCUUCUUUGGUUUGCUGUCAACCAUGAAUGGAUGGAUUUGAUGCCUGCUGGCCAAAAGGUGUCCCUCUGUGUGUUGCAGUCCUGUGGCAUUAUGCAUGCCCCCAGCCAGUGACCCCCCAGGCUUUUUAUGGCUGUGAGACACGUUAAAAGUUCAGGGGUAAGAAGUGACCUUUUGAGGUGACUCUAACUGAAGAUUGCUUUACAGAAGCCAGAAAAGGUUUUUGAGUCAUGAUGCAAGAAUCUGGGACUGAGACAAAAAGUAAUGGUUCAGCCAUCCAGAAUGGGUCGAGCGGCGGCAACCACUUAUUAGAGUGUGGCGGUCUUCGGGAAGGGCGGUCCAACGGAGAGACGCCGGCCGUGGACGUUGGGGCGGCCGAUCUGGCCCACGUGCAGCAGCAGCAGCAGGCACUUCAAGUGGCAAGACAGCUUCUUCUCCAGCAGCAACAGCAGCAGCAAGUUAGUGGAUUAAAGUCUCCCAAGAGGAUUUUGUUUAAUGAUAAAGUAUGACAUUUGAGAGAAGAGGUUCAACCAGAAGUGUUGUGGUUGGGAGAAAGAAAAAUAUAAUGAGACCCUUUUAUUGGAGGAUGAGGAGUUAUUGGGGUGGGUUGCUUAUUAGGCACCGUGGCUUACCAGUGAGGGAAAGUUUAUAAUAAUCACAUAGGUCACUAAUUGUCUCAUGAUCUGUGUAGAAGUGGGACACACACACACACACACACACACACACACAACUGACUUUAGUGCAGCAGUUUUCAGCUGGAGUGAUUUUACUUCCCAAAGGACAAUGGGCAGGGUCUGGGGACAUUUCCAUUGUCACUGCUUGGGGUCGAACGAAUGCUCCUGACAUCUGGUAGGUAGUGAUGCUGCUUAACAUCCUACAGUGUACAGGAAAGUCUCCCAGAAGAGGAAAUGGUUCAGCCUACAUGUCAAUAGUUUCAAGAACGUAUUGGGAUUAAGGAAGAUAGAGUACAGGGUACUUUGGACUUUGGAUAGCCCUAGUCAUGGAUGUGAUACAUACGCUAUCCUUCAGUGGAUAUUGGCAGAAUAUUUCUAAAUCAUUAAUAGAAAUUGGCAGGCAGAUAUUAUGUAAAGGUACUCGAGAAGACUGAGCAGCUUCUCAUUUCAGGCACAUCGAGGGCAGGGGUUAGCUGAGUAGAAAGAGUGAGGUCAUAGAAAUCUAAUUUGAAUCUUCGACUGGGAGUAGAAAAUUGUAAUAGAAGUUUCAAAGACACUUGACUCAGAGUAUUCAUGCUCACAUCCGGGACAGGAAGGGCAGUUGCAGGUACUUGGAGGCUCACCUACUUUCAUAGCUAAGAGUGGGCAUCCCCCAAAAUGGGAAGCGAAAGUGAAUUUCCUAUGCUGUACAUUUUGGGGAGGCAUUUGUUAGUGGAAACUGGUGGGUAUAACUUGGUGCCAAUUAAUUCAAUCACGAGGUCAGCCCAGAUUCUAGCUUGUGUUGACUUUCCUCAGAGAUCAGAGGGAACUAAUAUCCCAGUUCCCAAAUUAUCCUGCAAAGAUGAAACUGACCUUGGACCCCAAGUUCUAGUUCUUCUCCAUCUCCUUGGAAACUCUCAGUGCCUAAGGGACUUUCAGCAUGAUAGUAGCUCUUGAUUGGCACAGUUGAAUGACCAUGUGCAUUGUUUAUCAGCACUUCCGAAAGCGGUUAUACUGGUCAGCCGUCACCAACCCACAUGGCUUUUAAUGUGUGUGAAUUCUGGGGACAUUUUUAAUGAGGUGCAGUGAGUGCCACUAAGGUCCCAUGUCAGGUGCUAUAAGAAGUGCUUUGUUGUGCAGAUGUCUUAAGAACAGCUCUGGAGGAUGAAAUAUGACUGUGUUGACCUUUCAGCUGUGAGCUUAUUUGUCAGGAUUCAAAUAAGUUGAAAGGAUCAAACUGAACAGUUUCCGUAGUCAGACUGGGAAUUGUGUUGCAGAGGUCAGCAGCGGAGGCCACAUUGUAGAUUCCAGAACAUAGCCAAUUGUUGGUACAUAUUAAAGUACUGGGGCAUCUCCUGCAGACAGAGACACAAUUAAAAUUCUAAUUUAUUAAUGUAUACAGGGAGCUAGCCCAGCCUGUCACUCAGUGAUUCAAAUGACUGUCCAUUCUUCUUGCCUCCCCCUUGGAGCUCUCACAGCCUUAAAAAUACUACGAGUCCUCUUGAAUUUAUCAGACCUCCAAUGCAUCGGCAAAAUAACAGUCUGUUAUUGGGGAGGAAAAUCUUAUCUCAAGUAGUACUUUGGUUAGAGAUCAUUUUAAAAAGUUUACAAUACACAGUCCAGUGAACUGCUCGUCUUCAGUAUUGAGUAUCAUCUAUAAUUUUUUUAGACUAGACGUAGUUUCCUUUCUACUUGCUUUUUUUAAAAACACAGGGCAUUUUUAGGUAACUUCUUUUCCAAGGUGUAUAUAGUUCCUGUCAGGCUAAAUAUAUGAAGUAAACUUUCAGGGGGUUUCCUUAGGAGGGCUUUUUUUCUUCUUGGCCGUUAUAAGGUUUUUAGCCAGCAGAAGGGUAUGAUAGAGAGGGCUUUUCUUUUCCUGACAAAACCAGCCUGAUGCAUGCUGCUGAGCCCUUCAGUCUCUAUGAAACGUGCUGGACCAGGUGGCCAUCUUGGAUGCCGGUUUUACUAAAGAAGAUGUUUUGCAGCCUUCCCUGCCCCCUUGGGGGCAGGAGCUUUGACAAGCAAAGAAUUUAGACCAGCUCUAAGAGUUGAUUGUGGGGGAUAGGGUCAGGGGAAGAGUUGAUUGACCUGUGUGUGUGUGUGUGUGUGUGUGUGUGUGUGUGUGUGUGUGUGUGUGUAAGUGCAUCAUAGUCUGUGUCUCCGCAGCUGCCUGGUAGGGUCAUGCAAAUUCACAAAGUUUUUUUUCUGCUGGCUGGCCUUCUACAACCAGAGGAGAAAUUACUAACCUAGGCCACAUGGCUUAUUACCUUAUUAUAAAAAAUAAGCAUGGGCAUUUGGCGAUUCAAGGAAGUAAUAACCUUCCCAUGUCACUGUAUCUUACCCAGCCAUGUCCUUGCUGAAGCAUCUCAGCUAGAGUGGCUCAGAGCUGAAAGGGAAAUCCUACAGCAAAUCUUCCCAGUGCUCAUCUCUGAUCUCCUUACCCUUCCUACCUCCACGUAGAGACCUAUUUUAGCAAAUUUCAGAUCUUCCGCAGAGAGCAAAGCUUGACAGGGAAGAAGGAUUUGAUCUGCUGAUAGCUUGAGGGAAAAAAAAAAAAAAGAAACCCAAAUCCCCAAAUAUACUGUGACUCAUAUUUUAAGCAUAUCUCACACUUCCCUGCUUUAUGUUUGGCAGCGCUCUCCACUUUCACAGGCUGAUGAUACAAACAAAAGAAAAUGGAAAGUUAGAGGAGGCUCUGAGUGGUUACUCGACAGAGAUCACAAAAUGUAGUCAAACAUCACCCAUUGGGACUAAUUUCAGCAAAAUCAAAGUAAAUAAGUGAGAAAUGACACUCUUUGCAGAUACAAAUACUGAGCUAAAUCUGAACUGGCUGCGUUCUUGGGUGACAUGGUAGUUUAUAAUGAAGUCAUGAAUACAGAUAUGGCUUCUGAAGUUCUUGAAAAAUAUUCUACUUAGUAACCUAAAUAUCUCCUUAUUUAGGCUAUUAAUUUGCUUUGCAAAUUUUUUAUGAAUGAUACAAGUGAAAAUUGGAAAUUGGUCCCAUCAUAAAUUCAGCCUCACAAUGAUCUAAUUAAAUGCAACUCGGUGAACAUUUGUAGAACAGCUAUGAUUUGUGAGGCGUCAAGCUGAUGCCCAGAGAUACAAAGCUGUCUAGGAUACAGACCCUGCCUUCAGGAUGCUUUUGAGUUGUGAAAGAAUUAAGCAGGUUUUGCUGCAAAAAGAAAAUUAUAUGUGAGUAAAAAUAGUAGGCUUGCUUUUAUAAAUAUUUAUGUACUUCUGAAGAUUGCUUAAACAAGUGAAAUAAAUGCUUAACAGUGCAGGUGUGCUCAUAACCUCGAAAAUGUGUAACUUUACUGGCUGAAGAUUAAUUUGUGAGUAGAUGAGCAAUUUUAUUGAUCAAAUUUUGGAACUUUGACCACCGUUUCUGGGUAGUAAUUCAUUUUGGUUCUUUAAGCAUUUUAGUUGUUGGCACGAGGACAUAAACUGGAAGGAAAUCAAAUGACACAUUUUCUCCUAAGAAAGUAAAAGUACAUGUGUAUUCUGGCAGCAUUAAAGUUAAGAAAGAAAGUAAACCUUGUGUGUUGCUUACAGUGGAGCGCUGACCACCGUUUCAGGCUGUCUAUAAAGAACUUGAACUUGAAACCAGGCAUCUGAUACUUUUCUUGCCUGCCUGUCCCCUUCCUUACAAGAUUUUCUCCUGUGCAAGCUCCUCACGCAGGGGGCCAUCCCUCUGGAAGGAAAGUUGAGGAAACCCACUAGAAGGUCAGCCUUUUAGUCCAGUUGGAAGCGCAGGAUUAUAAUGAGGACUCUUGCUUUAAGUGGAGGAGGUGAAAAUACAAGAUUCAGCAGGUGUUUUUUUUUAGCAUUUUUAUUUGCAGUUAUAUAAAACGUGCUUUAGGCAGCAUUUUGCUUGGCAUUAAUGCCACAUAUAAUCUUAGUACCUCAUAUCAUUUCCACGUUAUUCACUGAGGAAUAAAUUGGUAAGAGGAAACCUUUAAAGGAAACUACAGUUUUAUGUUGUAGAUAGUGAAAUGGAAUGGUUUUGAAAUACUGACCCUUAAAAAAUAUCCCUAUGUGCUAAAUUAGUAAAGUGCAUAAAUCAGGAGAGGGAGGCAGAGUUGGGUUUUUUGGUUUUGGUUUUUGUUUUUAAUGUCUGGACUUAAUAUUGUCUAGAAUUGGCACCCCUGGCAUGAAAUUGAUGGGAAGUAUUGAAAUUUUGGUACCUUUUAAGAUUUUGCUUUUAUCACAUGACUUUGGAGAAUCCCCCCCAUCCUAAAAAAUGUCUUGAUAAGAAACAGUAAAAUCAAAAUGAUGCUUUAAAAAUGGUUAUUAAGUCUUUUAGGCUCUGCACACCAUUAAAAAUGAUAGAAACAGCAACCCCUCCUAGAAAAUUGCACAUGGACACAGAAUUUUUCAUCCAGUUAAAAGAGUUUCAUGAAGCUCAAGAAGUCUAUCUAUUUCCCCAGGUUCAGUACUCUUACUGGUAGAAAGGUUUUUUUUCCCCCAAAUAAUGUUUUAUCCCUGCCGCCCAAAUCCCUAUGUCUGUUGUAAUAGAAUAGGUUACAUCAUUUUUGCUAUUUCACCCUCAGCUAUUUAUAAGGCGACCCUGUGUCCCAGUCUACCCAGGACAGCCCCAGUCUAUGCUUGUUGAUUGCAUGUAUUUAUUAAUAUUUUUCACUCUUAACAAUAUUCCAGGUUUGGAGUUCCUGUGGUGGCGAAGUGGGUUAAGAAUCCAGCUGCAGGGGCUUGGGUCACUGAAGUAGUGAGGGUUUGAUCACUGGUCUGGUGCAGUGGGUUUAGGAUCUGGUGUUGCUGCAAACUGUGGUGUAGGUCACAGCUAUGACUGGGGUGAUUCAUUCCCUGGCCCAGGAAUUUGCAUAUGCCGUGGGUGUGUCCAAAAAAGAGAAAAAAAAAAAAGGAUCCCAGUUUGGAUAUUUCAUUAUAUGAUCACUUUGCUUACAUUUAUCUAAACAUUAAAAUGCAAGUGUGAUGCUAAUAUUUGAAGUGUAAGCCUGUCUUGGUCACCACAUGCCUCUGUCACUAGAUGCAAAGAUAGCUAAUGUUUACUAUAUGCUUAAUGUGGAGCAUCAGUCCCAUAGCUACUCUGUGGUAUAGUGCUGUCCUGAAACCCUUCUAUGGAUAAGGAAAAAUGAACAUUCAGAGAAGCCAAGUGACUUGUUAGCACACAGACAACCAGUAUGUUAUCAGGAGUUAAUUAUUGCUUCUCCUUCCGUGUGUAUUUGCUCAGUAUCUACUGAGUGCCUUGUUUUCCAUCAAUAAGCAAAUUAUUACAUUUUUCAUAUCAUAAGCAAAAAUAAGACCCCCACCAACAAAAACCAAUUUCUACUGUAAAUAUCUUAAUUUCAAUUAGGAAGACUAAGAUCUGCCUAAUUAUCCUAAUUGUUGCUGUGUGUGUGUGUGCACGAACAUAUGUGCGCACACACGUGUGCAUUCGUGGGCAAGAGUUAUGUGUCACAGCAGUGAACAACAGCAAAGGAAAGUUAUUUCCUGUGCUCCAGCCUGAAGUGCUUGCUCUUAGGAGCUUCCAUGUGUUGGAACAUGGAAAUAGUAUGUUAUAAUCACUGUUGGGGCGAGGAGGUGGGGAGGAGCAGGGAGGAAAAAAACAUACUUGACUGGUCAAAAAUGUGUAAAUUGCUGACAAAAUGACACAUGUAAUUAAGAGCGCUCCCACCAUUUUACCUUGUGGUUUACACCUCCAGUGUUGAAAAAGAGAGCGACUCCCACCUCGCUAAUUACCAUUAUCACUGAAAUGCUAGGGUUGGAGUCAUUAGUUCCAUGUGCAUUUAAUUAGAGGAAGGCUGAAAUUGGAUUUAACUUAUUACUUUUUCAUGGAUCACUUUCUUGUCAUCACUUCAAAUUGGAUUGCAGCCCCAGGUAACUAAUUAUGAGAGCCACAGGAUCAAGAGUGAAAAAAAAAGGUAAUUAGGAAUAACACUGUCGGACCCUUGCUGGUCGUCCACUUGUGCUUCGGGAGAAGGGAGUGGGGGGGAACCCAGCCGUAUUUUGUCGUAUUACAGAUCACAGAGUUAGAGGUAUGUACGGUUGCUAGGCAUCCUAGGAGUCUGUCACCACCCAUAGUGGUUUCUGUGAUAUACAACUGAGUCAAAGAUGUCAAGUCGACGUGGUUCCACGAUCAGCCCCUUAAUACCUAGAUUAAACUUGUAAAAGCAACAGAUUGCUUGUAGGUAUGAGGCAUCUCAACAACUGUGUAGUCUGGGGCCUCACAUAUAUGAUUACAACAAAGCUGUCAAGAUGCCUCGGAGCCAAAGUAUGGAAUAUUUUAAGUACGGGGAGUUAGCAUUUAAUGAACGUAUUAAUGUUCCAGAAACAUCAUUCAUAUCUGACAGGAAGACAUAUCAGUCAGCAUAACAGUAAGGUGCAGGGUUUAUAUAUCGGGAAUUUUUGUCAGAGUUUCCAGCCGACCAUUUUCUUUGCUUCUGGUUGGUUCCCCACCCCCCACCCCACCCCAGUGUUGUGGAUAGGCUUGCUGACGUUCUGUUUCUCCUUCCGCCCCCAUCGAAAAUACUUUAAAACAAAUGAUAUUGUUUCCAUGUGCAGAGCAGAAUUCAGAACUGCAAGCAAUCAAUUUUAUUGACAUCGUCUGAAAAAAAUGUUGAUGACAGUUGGAGGAUGUGAAAGGAUUGGACUUUUAAAGUCACCAGGACUUAAGUGU